rnacentral:rRNA from 1 species
ACGGGUGAGUAACACGUGAGCAAUCUGCCCUUAAGAGGGGGAUAGCAGUUGGAAACGACUGAUAAUACCGCAUAAGAUAGUAGUACCGCAUGGUACAGCUAUAAAAGAUUUAUCGCUUAAGGAUGAGCUCGCGUCUGAUUAGCUAGUUGGUGAGGUAACGGCUCACCAAGGCAACGAUCAGUAGCCGGACUGAGAGGUUGGACGGCCACAUUGGGACUGAGACACGGCCCAGACUCCUACGGGAGGCAGCAGUGGGGAAUAUUGCACAAUGGAGGAAACUCUGAAUGCAGCGAUGCCGCGUGAGGGAAGAAGGUUUUAGGAUUGUAAACCUCUGUUGACAGGGACGAUAAUGACGGUACCUGUUGAGGAAGCUCCGGCUAACUACGUGCCAGCCGCCGC